rnacentral:lncRNA from 1 species
AUCAGCUUUCUCAUCUACGUGAUUAUCCAUUUCUUCCACCUCAUCUCUCACCGGAAAAGGCGAGUCAGUAACCCUCAACUGUCUCCCAAACCCACGAAAAUAAUUAUCAGGUGACGUUGUUUCACCCUUAAUCAUCUCCAAUGCGGCUCUCAUUACCGCCGCAUUCAUCACCACAACAUCCUCUUCAUGACUAGUAGUGUGUUUUUUCAUGUCCAAAUUUGGGCUGCUAGUGCAGCUAAACUCAUAAUACUCAUCCUCAUGUGGAGGGCAAAAUGGUAAAUUACCACUCUCGACGUGAUCGGACCGAAGGUUUUUGUUUUGGUUGUGGUGGUGGAAGUGAAACAUGAGAUUUUGGACCACGACUUUGUAACUACCAAUCUUACUACGCUUCAUCAUUAAUUUGAUAUCGAGCAUUAUUUUCUGCUUUGAUAUACCUUUUCUUAACAUGCAUAAUGCCACUCGAACAAUUUUCCAAAACUUCUUUCCUACCACUACCAAAUUUUGAUCCAUUUGUGUGUGUGUGUGUUGGUGUUGUUGUUGCUAAUUGAAUUGGCAAGGCAAAAAGUAUAUGAAGGGGUAUAUAUAGUGGACCAUUUUAACGUUAAUAUGUUAAAGUGAGGAGUUAAGGGUCCAUUUGAUAUUUUGGAACAAAAAUCGAAUAUUUUAUUGACUCAAUUAUUAGUGGUGUUGGUGAUUUUUACACUAUACAACUUUAGGUCACUAUCACUCCCAAAUUAAUUGUGUGAUUAAUUAUUUUUUCCUCAGGGAAAUCAAUUUUAAUUUGGUCACGUAUGUCCCAAUUAAACACCUCUUUUCUUUUUUUCUGCUCCCCAUUCAACAAUUUUCUUCUUUAAUUAAUACCUCAAACCAUAUGAGAUCUCUAAAAAGUCACUUCUAACUUAAUUUCAAAUUAUUGAUAGUUGAUACUUGAUACUGGAAUUAAAUUAUUUAGGACAUGUCUUUUGCACUGAUGUUAUGGCUAGUCUGGUAAUGCGUGUUAAAUGCUUGUUCACUCUUAAUCAUAUAUUUUGAAUUUUGAUAGGAAAUGUUUAUUUGUUCACUUUUCAAUGUGAGUUCAGAUUAAUCAAACAUCAUAGAUCAAGUAGUCUCAAACUUUCGGCUUCAUGAAAAGAUAAUUAUUCUUAAUUCAGUCACUUAGCUCAAUAAUAAUGCUAUUUAGGUUUGUCUACUUAGAGGGGAGGAUAUUAUCUAGAUUUGAUCUUAAGAUAUUAUAAUCAACAAAUAGGAAGCAAACAAACAAAUAAAUUUUAAAAAUAACAAAUUAAUAUUACUACGUUAUUGCAAUUUUUUUGUUUGUAUACAAUUGUCUUUUCUCAACUUCUAGAAUAUGAGUUGAAAGGAUACCUCCAAAACCCUAGCAGCUAUUUGUUUGUUUGAAAAGUUUACUUAACAAGGUAGGUUUUCCAUGGCAUGUCCUCCACCCCCACCCCCCCUUCUUCUUUUUUACAAUAAAGUUUAUAAUUGUGGGCGUACACCAAUCAUGAACCUAAGUUUCUUUUUCUUUUUCUUUAUUAUAUUCUGUUUCUACAGUUAUCCCAUAUCCAAAGAGUGUAGUUCACAAUUAAUUUACUAUAUACUUCAUAAUUUAUGUAAUGUAAAUUAACUGAAUAUUAAAUGUAACAAGUAUAAGAAUACUUUGUAACAUUUCAAAAUAAUUUUUUUAGAUUUUUUGUCAAAUAAGUUGAAUCCAUUACAAAUAAAAUGGUAGAUAAACUUUACUGUAAUAAGGAUCUUAUUAUAUUUAAUUAAUCAUAUUUUUUUCUAUUAUUAAUGGUCCUGAAAAAAUUAGGUACCAAAAAGUACGUAACCAAGUAUACAAACCUUGUCUUUGCUUGCAUGGCUAGCGCCUAGUUGACUAGAACUAGUUGUUGGUCAAGGUCUCACCCUAAGGUUUAUUAUAAAAAGCAAAGUUUUUUUUUUUCAAUUUUGAGACUCAUAAUAGAUUCAAUUAUUCUUUUUUCUAGACUUUUGAAUUUUGUAAUCUUUAAUUAAAUAUAUGUUAAAUGUAUCAAAAUGUCUUUUAAUCUAAUGAUUUUAAACAUAUUAUGUGGAAAUUAAGUUGAAAUUAAAAAAUUUAGAUGAAAUAAUAGGACCCCCGCAAACUUUAGAUGUCCACUUCAGAAAAGGAGUAUAACUUUGAUGGUUAAUAUUUUCUCUUUUGACUAAUAUAACACUGCCGCAAUAAAUAAAGAAUUUUUCGGCAAUAAUAUAAUUAUUAUAUUAUAUUUAGGAGCAAUAACAAAUAUUAAUAUUUAUAACCAACAUAUUCGAUAUAAAUUCUGCUAAAUAUUUUAGCAACUCUAAAUAUAAUUGCAUUAAUUCAAUUAUAGCUAAAUAUUUUUACCGCUUAAAUUUUUUUCAUUGUCAUUAAAUUUCUCUUUUAUUAUAAUUCAUGUAUGUAUUUUGGUUGUGGUUUUAUUUGCAAGAUUUUUUAAUGUUCAAUGAACUCUAUCUAUCAAGAAGCUUGUAACCAUUAUAAUUAGCUUAACAAACUUUUACAACUUACUACUUUUGAACAAAAAUGUACUACCUAACUUAGAAAAAAGGAGUUCCAAAUUAUAUUUGUUUCAUUUUAACUUGGAAGAGUUUCUCUUCUCAUGCUUUUGCACUUCUUUUAAUCUCUGAAAAUGCUUUCUGAAGAUUUUUCGAGUUUUUAAUGGAGACAUUGAAAUUUUAUUUGAUAAAUUCAUGAUAGGUUGACCAAAUUAAAUUUUUGGUUAAUAAAGAUAGAUUAAUAUUUAAAUUAAAAUUAUAUACCUUAAAUAAAGUUCAAUUAUAUUUGAGUUAGUACUCUGUUAAGUUGACAAGAUGAAUCCAAUUAGUCAAACUCAUGUUCUGCAAGCCAAAGUCUGCUAGAAUUAUUUAGAGACAUCCAAAUCUUAACUCACGCCUAUAUAAAAGGAUCUUCGUAAAGUCAGAAGAAAACAAGAAGAAAGAAAUACAUAAAAAAAAAAAUUGUUAACACACAAAGAAGUCUUCGUCUCCAUUUGAUGAGCCGCAAGCUGUUAACGACAAAUAAAUAUUUAUACAAGAAAUGUAACAAUACAAAAAGUUGAUCCAUUGCAUGUGUUCAAUAUUGUUUAUUUUUAACUUGAAGACUUCUCAUUUCUCUUGCUUUUAGUUUCCACUUUUUAAAGCUCUUAGAAGUACUCUCUUGAAACUUUUCAAAGUUAAUAAUUGGCCAAAUUAAAUAGGGUACCCAUUGUUUUGGCCGUAUUGAUUGAAAAAGUUAAAAUUAUUUGAAAAAUUGACUUAAUUGAUUGAGUUACAUACCUAAUUCAACGUGCUUUGCAUUGGCAAUUGUACUUUAGCUUUAAGUUGAAGAAUGAAAUUUUUUAGAAUCGAUGGUUAAUAAAUUGAAUAAUCUUCUUGUAAGGUUUGGAUAAUCCUCCUUUUUUGAACUAAUUUUUCGAGUUAAGCUCAAAAUUUGUAUUCUUUUAAUAUUUUGACCCCCCCAAAAAAGAACUUUUUUCUUUUUUCUCCAAAAUUGUUCUUUUACUCUCAAGUUCUCACUUCUCACCUCCUUUUAUGUGUAAUAUAAUUGUAAAUCCGAUUAUUAUUAUAAAAUUUAAUAUAAGAGUAAUGCAAUAGUAUUUAUAAAUUUUAAAUCUUGCAUUUGUCUCUGUCUUGGCUUAUGUGGAGAGUAGGGGUGUACAAAAACGAAUCAAACCGCAAAUCGAGUCAAAUAAAAAAAAAACCCGACUAGUGGUUUGGUUUGACUUGGUUUGGUAUUGGAAAAAAAAACCGACUAUAUUUGGGUUAGCUUGGUUUUAACUAAAAAAAACCAACCCGAGAUUAAACCAACCCAACAUUAUAUAUGUAAUUUUAAAAUUUUAUUUUAUACAUAAAAAUAUUUACUUUGAUAUAAUUUUAAANNNNNNNNNNNNNNNNNNNNNNNNNNNNNNNNNNNNNNNNNNNNNNNNNNNNNUUUUUUAGUUUUACAUUGGUUUAGACAAUUAAAAUGCAUAAUCUAAUUUUAAUUUUCCUUAAAUAUUUAGUAAUGUAACUAAUACUUAUUAAACUUAGCGCGGAGAAGUUCACUAGUUAAUACUAAUGCAAAAAGAAAAUCAAUUCAACACUAAGAAUGACAAUAAUAUUGAAUAUUUGUUCUUUAGUGUAUAUUGGUUUAGACAAUUAAAAUACAUAAUCUAAUUUUAAUUUUUCUUAAAUAUUUAGUAAUGUAACUAAUAUUUAUUAAACUUAUUUUAGCAUAAGUUUGUCUCUGAGAUUUCGGGCAUAGGUUGGGGGGUACUUAUGCAUUUUCCCUUUAAAUUAUGAUCAUUUUUCAUUAUGACUUUGCAAUAUUUAUUUUAUAUGAUGAUUUCAUUAUUAUUUUUUAUUGAAUGGUUUAGUGUCAUCAAUUUUGUGUUAUUUUCUUAAGAAACACCUUAGAUAAUUGUAUUUUGCUUGGACUAAAGAAAUAUUUGGAGCACAAGUUAAUUAUAUGUUUAGAUGCAAACUUUACCGAAAAAAUUAAAAAAUCUGAAAAAAUCCGAGGUUUAUUAGUUUGGUUUGAUUUAUAAAUUUAAAAAUUCGACACAAUGGUUUGGUUUGGUAUUUGAAAAACCCGAACCAACCCGAGGUUGAAAAACCCGAAAAAAAUUGAAUUUUAUUAGUUUGAUUUGGUUUAUAAAUUUAAAAUGUUUACACAAAUAGUUUGAUUUGAUAUUUGAAAAACUCAAAUCAACCCGGUCAUGUACACCCCUAGUGGAUAAUAACUUCUUCAUCGCCCAUUCACCCUCCAAUUUGAACGGUAUUACUUACAAGAAAUUUUAACUAUUGAAAUUUUAACGGUUGCUUACGAUAAUAUUUAUAAAUUUUAACCGUUGCUUACAAGUUAAAAAAAAAACAAAAUAUGUUUUUUGGUGUCUUCUUCAAAAAUUUCAAUAAGUGCAACAAGCCAACAAUCAUUCUAUUGAAGGAAUGCAACACUAUUUCAAUAUCAUUAUGUUAUUAUUAAAUUCUUUAACCAGAUAUUAUCAUUUUACUUUAUUUUAUAAUUUUUCUUGAGAAUCUCUAUUGUUGACAUUCAUAAUUCAUAAGUAUGUAUAUUCUUGUUUGUUUUGUUAUUAAAAUUUAUUCAAUUUAAAUAUGCCAACUAGAAAGUAUGAUUUUGAUUUUAUAAAAAAAAAUUGAAGAUUUAAAUAAAUUCCAAAAAGGAGCCUUUAAUAGAUUUUUAACAAAUAAUAAAAAUCUUCAAUCAAAACAUAUGGAAGGAUGUUCUUCAAAUGAACAAGUCACUAGUAGAAUUGAAUUAGAUGAUAAUAACAUUCAAGUAGAAAAUCUAGAAAAAGCUGGUGAAAAAUGUGACAUAAUUCCUGAGAAUCAAGAACUUCUAAAUAAUUUAAAUAGGUGCAUCCCUACAAAUAAAUAUCACCAAUUUUUUUUUUUUUAAAAAAACCUUUUUUUCCAACUUCCUUGUAGUUUCCUCCUUUCUACCAAACGCAAUUGUUUACAACUAAUAAUAUGAUACAAUUUUUUUUUAACAAUAGCAAAAAGAAGUUCCAUGUCAUGUGUUCAAUAUUCAUAUUGUGUACCUUGAAGAGUUUCUUUUCUCUCUUACUUUUAAUUUAUUUGUACUUUUUGAAGCUUUGCAAAGUUAUUUGCCAAAUAAUUUUGAAAUUAGCUAAAUACCUCCGAUCAAAUUAAUUUCAAAUAUUAUCUUAAAAUUAUUAUUCUUAUCCCUCGUAUUAAAUGAGUACUUUAUUUAUGACGGUGGCUUCUUGAGGGGUACGUUGACCAGUUUAAUUUUGAUGUCCUAUUUUGACCAAUUUUGAUAAUAUAAGCUGUUCAUAUUUUUUGUGCAUUUAGUUGAUCUAACUAAAACCACUAUAAUUAAUUCGAUAAGAAUACAUAUUUUAAAAAUCAAAAUUGAUGUAAUAUCACAAAUAAAUUUGAUGGAAUAAGUAAUGCGUAGAUUAUUAUGUGCACUUUGCCAUUUCCGUACAAAUAGAACAAGCCUUUCAAUUUUCCGAUGACUCAAAUACUAUACGCAUCUAGAUUUGGAGUAACAAAGUUAAAUUAACCAAUGUUUAGUGUGAAUUAAGAUAGAUUUUUAAAAAAAUUCUAACAAUAAAAUCAACAUACUGAAAAAUUACAUAAAAGAAUAUGAUAAAUCACAAUAGUUAACAAUUUAAAAUAUUUAGUAAAAACAUAUCAAAAGAAAUAUUCUUUGACGUUAUAAAUAUUAACUAAGAUAACAAAUUGAAACAUAGAGUAAUUAUUUACCGGUCAAAGAUUCAUUGUUUUAUUUGGAUUUUGUUGUAUUUACACAACUUCUUUUGUGAAAAACUCAAUUACAUGAAGCAAAUAAGCACACACUAUCCACAACUUCCAAUCCUCACAAGUUUUCUAUAUUUCUUUGUUUAUAUUAUAAGCUACCCCACACAAAAGCAAAAAAUCUAAUAAAAUUGCUUUUGCAAAUGAAGAAAAACAUGCAUACAUUGUAUACUACUAACAAUAACAAAAUAUGUUAAGAAAAUCAUAACAAAACGGCCUAACUUGACUUGAUCUAUUUAAACUUUACUUAUCCUAAUAUAUUACUUAUUUGCAUCUUUUGCAAGUCGUUAUUUGAGUUGUUGUAUUGAAUUAGACAGAUUUUGUAUUAAGUGAAUGAUGUUGUUCUGAAUUUAGUAAUUCUUCUAGUAAGAACCUUCUACCGGAUUGUUAUUGUAAUUUCCAUUUUUGAUGUUAUAAAAUAGUGUUUGAUUAAAUAUAUGAAUUAAAUGGAAUUCAUAUAUUUCUAAAGACAACUUCAAUGGCAAUAACAUAGGUUUAAUUUACCAACACUCUAUAUAAAUGUUGCUGAAGAUUAAGGUGACAUUGAAUCUAAUAACAUUUAAACAAUUGCAGGCAAAUGCUUUUGUAGCAAUAUUUACAAAAUUUAUUGCCACUAAUCAUGUCUUUAAAUUGAAAUGUAAAAGGAUAUAUUGCAUAAUAUAUAGACUUUUUUCAAUUUGUUGGAGAAUAUCAAACUGUGUUAUAGUAAAAAAUAAAAUAAAAUAACUCCAAUUAAAUAGCGAUAGGGCACUAACGUUUGGGUGAAAAAAAGUUAGAAAAAACUUCUUAACUUUACAACAGUUCUACAACAAACAGGAAAAGCUAUACAGAAAAUUCUCAUUUUUUUAUUUAAACAAACAACACUCUAUUUUGUACACAUUGAAUAGAGUCAUAGACAAGACAUGCACAUAGGUACAGAUUUUUGCUGUCUAGCUACGAAAUUUAUUCAUCGCCAAAUUCUGCUUUUAUUUUAGUAGUGGUCUUUGAGCACGUACAUAGAGUACUAAUAUUCAUGUACAGCUCCAACAAAAGCAAAAAAACUAUAAUAGGAUUGAUUUAACAAAUCAAGAAAACAUGCAUAUUUUAUAAAUAUAUUGUUUGCAACAUUAUGAAGCAGAAAAUGAGGAUUGUCGUCUCAAAUUUCUAUAGAACUUUGAGAUAAACUCAUCAGCUUUCUCAUCUACGUGAUUAUCCAUUUCUUCCACCUCAUCUCUCACCGGAAAAGGCGAGUCAGUAACCCUCAACUGUCUCCCAAACCCACGAAAAUAAUUAUCAGGUGACGUUAUUUCACCCUUAAUCAUCUUCAAUGCGGCUCUCAUUACCGCCGCAUUCAUCACCACAACAUCCUCUUCGGUAGCAGUGUGUUUUUUCAUGUCCAAAUUUGGGCUGCUAGUGCAGCUAACUCAUAAUACUCAUCCUCAUGUGAGGGCAAAAUGGUAAAAUUACCACUCUCGACGUGAUCGGACCGAAG